rnacentral:rRNA from 1 species
CUACGGGAUGCUCCAGUGAGGAAUAUUGCACAAUGGGGGGAACCCUGAUGCAGCAACGCCGCGUGGAGGAUGACGCAUUUCGGUGUGUAAACUCCUUUUAUAUGUCAAGAAAAUGACGGUAGCAUAUGAAUAAGCACCGGCUAACUCCGUGCCAGCAGCCGCGGUAAUACGGAGGGUGCAAGCGUUACCCGGAAUCACUGGGCGUAAAGGACGCGUAGGCGGGUUGGAAAGUCAGGUGUGAAAUCCUACAGCUUAACUGUAGAACUGCACUUGAAACUUCUAAUCUAGAGUAUGGGAGGGGGAGAUGGAAUUAGUGGUGUAGGGGUAAAAUCCGUAGAUAUCACUAGGAGUACCUAAAGCGAAGGCGAUCUCCUGGAACAUUACUGACGCUAAGGCGUGAAAGCGUGGGGAGCAAACAGGAUUAGAUACCCUCGUAGUC